rfam:Oryza glaberrima chromosome 4 Oglab04_0065_9, whole genome shotgun sequence.
AAAAAAGGAAACCCUGUGUUUCCGUGUCCAAUUUUAACUGUCCGUCUUAUAUGAAAUUUUUUUAUAAUUCGUAUUUUUAUUGUUGUUAGAUGAUAAAACAUGAUUAACAUUUUAUGCGUGACUUGUCUUUUUAAUUUUUUCAUAAUUUUUUCAAAUAAGACGGACGAUCAAACGUUGGGCACGGAAAUCAGGGUUUGCUUUUUUU